rnacentral:rRNA from 1 species
GAGAUGUGGGUUAGUCCGCACGAGCGCAACCCUAUCCUUAGUUGCCAGCACAUUAUGGUGGGGACUCUAAGGAGACUGCCUGGGAUAACUAGGAGGAAGGUGGGGAUGAUGUCAAGUCAGUAUGUCCCUUAUGCUCAGGGCUACACACGCGUUACAAUGGUUGGUACAGAGGGUCGCGAAUCCGCAAGGUGGAGCCAAUCCCCCAAAACCAACCCCAGUUCGGAUUGGAGUCUGCAACUCGACUCCAUGAAGCAGGAAUCGCUAGUAAUCGUGGAUCAGAACGCCACGGUGAAUACGUUCCCGGGUCUUGUACACACCGCCCGUCACGCCAUGGAAGUCAGUAGUACCCGAAUCGAGUGGCUCAACCUUCGGGAGGGAGCUCGUUAAGGUAAGAUUGGUAACUGGGGCGAAGUCGUAACAAGGUAGCCGUACCGGAAGGUGCGGCUGGAUCACCUCCUUUU